UAUAUUUUAGUGUAGGAUGCACAAAAAUUUUUGAUAUUUUAGGAAACAGUUUAACUCUGUUAUGUGUAA
rnacentral:tRNA from 1 species